rnacentral:RNase_P_RNA from 1 species
CAGGCCGGCUGGGUAGCUGCGGUCUUGUAGAUGCAAGAUCGAGGAAAGUCCGCACUCCAAAGAGCACAGUGCCGGGUAACACCCGGGUUGGGGACCUCUGCCCUCAUUAAGAGGUUCAGGACUAACCUGACGGAUAGGGCCACAGAAACAAACCGCUGGGGUUUGGAAAAAGGUGGUUGAAGUUCAUAAUCGAUCUUCAAAUCUCCAAAUCACUGAACUCCAGCAAGGGUGAAAAGGUGGUUUAAGAGACCACCGGCAUUCGCAGCAAUGCGGGUGGCCAGGUAACCCCCACUGGGAGCAAGGCCAAGCAGGGGCAAAGUUCGCAUCAAGCGGGCGGGAGGCUGCUCGUUUCCCUGGUUCACAUGAUGAACUAAUAGCCCCGGGUAGGCUGCUAGAGCGACAUGGAGACAUGCCGCCCAGAUAGAUGGCUACCCAGGUAGGUUGAAGAAUGACCAACCACUGGACAGAAUGCGGCUUAUAGGCCGGCCGGAGGU